rnacentral:lncRNA from 1 species
GCCCUGGUAGUGAUAGAUUGCUGCAGGAACUGGAAGGGUCAAAGAAAAUGUGAAUUAGAGCCCUUACAACGUUAUAGGAGAGCCAUCUGAGUUGGAUACAGCUACUGUCUUUGCCAAAUGUCAACUUCAGAAGCUUUCUGACCCUCAAAGCUUUGUCGUCAUCUCAAACAUCAUCAUCAUCAUUUUCAAACAUGAAUGCAUGCCAAGGACCAGCCUCAACUUGGAGAAGGGUUCUGAGAGAAGGGAUGUUUGACAGCAGAGAAACAAAGGACUGGAAGUCAAAUUGUGGUGAGUUCAAGCUGAUAGCCUAUGUUCUACUCCAGAUGGUAACUGUAGUGGUUAUUCCUGGUUGUCAACUUGACUAUAUUUGGAAUGACUACAAUCCGGAAUUGGAAGGCUCACCAGUGACCCUUAUCUGGAGGAUUGGAUAUCCUUAUCUGGAUCUUGGUUUGAAGAUCUUAAGCCAUAGUGGCUAUGGAUUCCAGAAGAUUGAAUCUCCGAGUUUAAGGAACACACCUUUAAUCUGGGCUACGCCUUUCAUCUGGGAUUAAAGGUGUGGUGGGACACACCUUUAAUCUGGGCUACACCUUCUGCUGGAGACAAUAUAAGGACAUUGGAAGAAGGGAGUCUAGCUCUUGCUCUUGCUCCUUCGCCUGCUUGCCGUGUGAGACUGAGUAACUGCUAGAUCCUUGGACUUCCAUUCACAGCUGCGACUGAACAAUUGUAAGGAAUUGGGCUGCCGACUGUAAGUCAUCAAUAAAUUCCUUUACUAUCUAGAGACUGUCCAUAAGUUCUGUGACUCUAGAGAACCCUGACUAAUACAGAAGUUGGUACCAGGAGUGGGGUAUUCCUGUGACAAUCUGACCAUGUUUUGGGGAGGACUGUGGAAGGACUUUGGAACUUUGGGCUUGAAGAUCCAUCCGUUGUUAAGAGCUCUGUCGGAUGUUGUGUAGGAGCUUGGAAGAUAAUGUUGAGAACACUGCAGAAGAUGGAGGUCUGGUUUGUGAAAUUUCAGAGGGAAAAUUAAAGACUCUUUUCAGGGCCAUUGCUGUUUUGAAUGUGAAGAUUCUGUAGUUCUGGUUAGCUGGGGCUGAAGAAUCAGCUGUGAUUAACAAGAUACCAGAACUACCAAAGCAAAAACUUUGCAUUACUGGGACUAUUGAUGCUGGUUAGCUGGAGCUAAGAAAUUAGCGGUGAUUAAGAAGAGACCAGCAUCAUUGAGGUGACAUCUUCUGGGAAGUGUUUUCUGAAAGCACAAAGAGGCUGUGUUCCAGAGCUGGCCAAGGUUGUACUCCUGCUGCAGCAGGACUUGGUAAUAUGUAAGGGUCACCCAGGUGGUACUGGUUUUGAAGGCAUGAAGGGGUCACGCAAAGCAGCCGAGGCUCGGCACUGUGAGAGGCCAUGGAAGGCCAUUGGUAAAGGUGCAGCCUCAGUUGCAAUUGAAGGCCCAGGACUGAAGGGGUCAAUUGUACUGGCUAGUUUUGUGUCAACUUGACACAGCUGGAGUUAUCACAGAGAAAGGAGCUUCAGUUGAGGAAAUGCCUCCAUGAGAUCCAACUGUAAGGCAUUUUCUCAAUUAGUGAUCAAGGGGGAAAGACCCCUUGUGGGUGGGACUAUCUCAGGGCUGGUAGUCUUGGUUCUAUAAGAAAGCAGGCUGAGCAAGCCAGGUGAGGCAAGCCAGUAAAGAACGUCCCUCCGUGGCCUCUGCAUCAGCUCCUGCUCCCUGACCUGCUUGAGUUCCAGUCCUGACUUCCUUUGGUGAUGAACAGCAGCAUGGAAGUAUAAGCCGAAUAAACCCUUUCCUCCCCAA